rnacentral:tRNA from 3 species
GGAAGGGUGCCCGAGAACAGGGACUACUUUGAUAGAGUAAGCACAGAGCCACAAACCUCUCCCUUCCCA